CAGGCCUAACACAUGCAAGUCGAACGGGGUAGCAAUACCUAGUGGCGCACGGGUGAGUAACGCGUGGAUAAUCUGCCUUGGAGUGGGGGAUAACUAGUCGAAAGAUUAGCUAAUACCGCAUAAGACCACAGGAGCUGCGGCUCUAGGGGUCAAAGGUUUUUCGUUCCAAGAUGAGUCCGCGUAAGAUUAGCUAGUUGGUGAGGUAAUGGCUCACCAAGGCGACGAUCUUUAACUGGUCUGAGAGGAUGAUCAGUCACACUGGAACUGAGACACGGUCCAGACUCCUACGGGAGGCAGCAGUAGGGAAUAUUGCACAAUGGAGGAAACUCUGAUGCAGCGACGCCGCGUGAGUGAUGAAGGCCUUCGGGUCGUAAAGCUCUGUCGCAGGGGAAUAACACAAUGAAUGUACCCUGUAAGAAAGGAUCGGCUAACUUCGUGCCAGCAGCCGCGGUAAGACGAGGGAUCCUAGCGUUGUUCGGAAUUAUUGGGCGUAAAGCGGAUGUAGGUGGCUUUGUAAGUCAGAUGUGAAAGCCCAGGGCUCAACCCUGGAAGUGCAUUUGAUACUGCGAAGCUUGAGUGUCGGAGAGGUUACUAGAAUUGUUGGUGUAGUGGUGAAAUACGUAGAUAUCAACAGGAAUACCGGAGGCGAAGGCGGGUAACUGGCCGAACACUGACACUGAGAUCCGAAAGCGUGGGGAUCAAACAGGAUUAGAUACCCUGGUAGUCCACGCCGUAAACGAUGGAUACUUGUUGUUAGAGGUAUUGACCCCUUCAGUGACG
rnacentral:rRNA from 2 species